GUGGGGAAUAUUGGACAAUGGGCGAAAGCCUGAUCCAGCCAUGCCGCGUGUGUGAAGAAGGUCUUCGGAUUGUAAAGCACUUUAAGUUGGGAGGAAGGGCAGUAAGUUAAUACCUUGCUGUUUUGACGUUACCGACAGAAUAAGCACAGGCUAACUUCGUGCCAGCAGCCGCGGUAAUACGAAGGGUGCAAGCGUUAAUCGGAAUUACUGUGCGUAAAGCGCGCGUAGGUGGGUUUGUAAGUUGGAGGUGAAAUCCCCGGGCUCAACCUGGGAACUGCCUCCAAGAAUGCAUGACUAGAGUACGGUAGAGGGUAUUAGAAUUUCCUGUGUAGCAGUGAAAUGCGUAGAUAUAGGAAGGAACACCAGUGGCGAAGGCGACUACCUGGACUGAUACUGACACUGAGGUGCGAAAGCGUGGGGAGCAAACAGGAUUAGAAACCCUAGUCC
rnacentral:rRNA from 1 species